GCCUGGCUGGCUCAGUCAGAAGAGCAUGUAACUCUUGAUCUCAAGGUCGUGAGUUCAAGCCCCAUGUUGGGUG
rfam:Ailuropoda melanoleuca scaffold509_57, whole genome shotgun sequence.